rnacentral:rRNA from 1 species
GAUGAACGCUGGCGGCAUGCCUAAUACAUGCAAGUCGAACGAGAGGAAGGAAAGCUUGCUUUCCUGAAUCUAGUGGCGAACGGGUGAGUAACACGUAGGUAACCUGCCCAUGUGCCCGGGAUAACUUCUGGAAACGGAUGCUAAAACCGGAUAGGUAGCAGACAAGCAUUUGACUGCUAUUAAAGUGGCCUUGGCCAUGAACAUGGAUGGACCUGCGGUGCAUUAGCUGGUUGGUGAGGUAACGGCCCACCAAGGCGACGAUGCAUAGCCGGCCUGAGAGGGCGGACGGCCACAUUGGGACUGAGAUACGGGCCCAGACUCCUACGGGAGGCAGCAGUGGGGAAUAUUGGGCAACAGGGGGCAACCCUGACGCAGCAACGCCGCGUGAACGAUGAAGGUCUUCGGAUUGUAAAGUUC